UGCCCAGCAACUCCUAUCCCUACCUCCUCGUGGUACUGGCCAGGGUACGGAUAAUCUUAGGGAAGAUCGGGUAACCAACCCUGAUGGGAACUUUGGUCAUAUUCUGACAGGAAAGG
rnacentral:ribozyme from 1 species